UACAGAGGUCUCAAGCGUUGUUCGGAUUCAUUGGGCGUAAAGGGUGCGUAGGCGGCCUGAUAAGUCGGGGGUGAAAGCCUGUGGCUCAACCACAGAAUUGCCUUCGAUACUGUUAGGCUUGAGACCGGAAGAGGUAAGUGGAACUGCGAGUGUAGAGGUGAAAUUCGUAGAUAUUCGCAAGAACACCAGUGGCGAAGGCGGCUUACUGGUCCGGUUCUGACGCUGAGGCGCGAAAGCGUGGGGAGCAAACAGG
rnacentral:rRNA from 1 species